GGUACCAGGGAUCGAAUUCAGGGGCACUCAACCACUGAGUCACAUCCCCAGCCAUAUUUUGUAUUUUAUGUAGAAACUGGCUCUCACUGAAUUGCUUGGCACCUUACCAUUGCAGAGGCUGGCUUUGAACUAACAAUUCUGCCUCAGCCUUCUGAGCCUCUGGGAUUACAGGCUUGACCACUGCACCCAGCUGGGCUUUGCUUUUUAAGAUGAUGUAUGGAGCUUAAUCAUGGUGUGGAGUCUUGUAAGAAAUCACCUAGGAAACAGACACCAAACAAAAGCCUAGCUCAUCUAAUAACAAUAACAAAGGAGUUAAUACCACAGCCUGGAGACAUAUUAUCAGUAAAGAAAAUGAUCAACCAUCAGGUGUCCUUGAGAGAGCCUUUGCUCCAAUUCCCAGGUUUGGAG
rnacentral:lncRNA from 1 species